rnacentral:rRNA from 1 species
CAACGGGUUCCCCUUUAGUAGGGGGGAGAAAGGGGCAAAACCUCAAUUUGAAAUUGGGGUCCUUUCGGUCCCCGAGUUGUAAGGAGUAGAAUUUAUUUUGGGGCUGUUCCUUAUAUAUGUUCCUUGGAACAGGACGUCAUAGAGGGUGAGA